rnacentral:rRNA from 1 species
UACGUAGGUGGCAAGCGUUGUCCGGAUUUACUGGGCGUAAAGAGCGCGCAGGCGGUCGUUCAAGUCGAGUGUGAAAGCCCCCGGCUCAACUGGGGAGGGUCACUCGAUACUGAUCGACUCGAAGGCAGAAGAGGGAAGCGGAACUCCCGGUGUAGUGGUGAAAUGCGUAGAUAUCGGGAGGAACACCAGUGGCGAAGGCGGCUUUCUGGUCUGCUCUUGACGCUGAGGCGCGAAAGCUAGGGUAGCAAACGGG